CAGGAGGCCAACCCCAACCCGCCGCAUGGCGACUCCUCGCGCUCCAGCCGCCGCGUCCCUCAACGUCAGGGCAACAUGACCAUCGCAGCCAAGGCUGGAGUCACGUUGGAAAUCCCAAACGGGGCUGUGCUCGAGAACAAGAGGCUCACAGUUAAACAAGAAGGUCAGGCUCCAGCCAGUGAUGUUGAGGCUGCCUAUACAACACAGACCCAUGCCACUUACAACAAUCACGG